UCGAACGGGACCAAUGUUUGUAGCAAUACAAGUAGUGGUCUAGUGGCGAACGGGUGAGUAACACGUUGGUAACCUGCCCCGAAGUGAAGGAUACCCAGCCGAAAGGUUGGCUAAUACUGCAUAAAAAUGGGGGGACAUAAGUCAUUCCCAUUUAAAGUCGUAAGACGUUUCGGGAGGGGCCUGCGGCCCAUCAGGUAGUUGGUAGGGUAACGGCCUACCAAGCCUUUGACGGGUAGAUGGUGUGAGAGCACGACCAUCCACAGUGGGACUGAGACACGGCCCACACUCCUACGGGAGGCAGCAGUAAGGAAUCUUCCGCAAUGGACGAAAGUCUGACGGAGCGACACCGCGUGAGGGAUGAAGGCCUUCGGGUUGUAAACCUCUUUUCUGAGGGAACAGUAUGAGUGUACCUCAGGAAUAAGCAUCGGCUAACUACGAGCCAGCAGCCGCGGUAAUACGUAGGAUGCAAGCGUUAUCCGGAAUCACUGGGCGUAAAGCGUCCGCAGGUGGACAGGCAAGUCAAAUGUAAAAUGCCGGUGCUCAACAUCGGCAUCGUAUUUGAUACUACCUAUCUAGAGGAUGGGAGAGGCUAGUAGAAUUCCCGGUGUAGGGGUAAAAUCCGUAGAUAUCGGGAGGAAUACCAAAAGCGAAGGCAGCUAGCUGGAACAUUCCUGACACUCAUGGACGAAAGCGUGGGGAGCGAAAAGGAUUAGAUACCCUUGUAGUCACGCCCUAAACGAUGAGAACUCGGUGUAGGGGGAGUCAAUCCUCCCUGUGCCUAAGCUAACGCGUUAAGUUCUCCGCCUGAGUAGUACGGCCGCAAGGCUAAAACUCAAAGAAAUAGACGGGGACCCACACAAGCGGUGGAGCAUGUGGUUCAAUUCGACAGUAAGCGAGGAACCUUACCAGGUCUUGACAUCCCGCGAACCUUGUAGAAAUACAGGGGUGCUCGCAAGAGAGCGCGGAGACAGGUGCUGCAUGGUUGUCGUCAGCUCGAGCCUUGAGGUGUUCGGUUAAGUCCGUGAUCGAGCGCAACCCACGCCAUUAGUUACAUAUUUCUAAUGGGACUGCCUUGCCACAAGCAGGAGGAAGGUGUGGAUGACGUCAAAUCAGCAUGGCCCUUAUGAUCUGGGCGACACACGUGCUACAAUGGUCGGUACAAAGAGAAGCAAAGGAGUAAUCUGGAGCAAAUCUCAAAAACCGAUCUCAGUUCGGAUUGAGGGCUGCAACUCGCCCUCAUGAAGUUGGAAUCGCUAGUAACUGUAUAUCAGCCACGGUACAGUGAAUAUGUUCCUGGGUCUUGUACUCACCGCCCGUCAAGUCAUGGGAGCCAAGGGCACCCAAAGAUCGCUUUUUAGCGGUUCACGGUGAAAUUGGUGACUGGGACUAAGUCGUAACAAGGU
rnacentral:rRNA from 1 species